rnacentral:rRNA from 1 species
UACGUAGGGUGCGAGCGUUGUCCGGAAUCAUUGGGCGUAAAGAGCGUGUAGGCGGCUCGGUAAGUCCGCUGUGAAAGUCCAGGGCUCAACCCUGGAAUGCCGGUGGAAACUGUCGAGCUAGAGUCCGGAAGAGGCGAGUGGAAUUCCUGGUGUAGCGGUGAAAUGCGCAGAUAUCAGGAGGAACACCAAUGGCGAAGGCAGCUCGCUGGGACGUGACUGACGCUGAGACGCGAAAGCGUGGGGAGCAAACAGG